rnacentral:rRNA from 1 species
AGCCCUAAGAACUUAUUUAGGGUAAUACCUGCCCAAUGAGAAAUUUAAUGGCCGCGGUACUUUGACCGUGCUAAGGUAGCAUAAUCAAUUGACUUUUAAAUGAAGUCUGGAAUGAAAGGGGGAACGGAAUUUAGCUGUCUUAACCUCUUUAAUUUGAAUUUACUAACUAAGUGAAAAGGCUUAGAAAAGAUAAAAGACGAGAAGACCCUAAGAGUUUCAGAAUACUUUUGUUGGGGCGACAUAGGGUCAAGUUUAUUAACACCCUUUAUUAAUAAGACGGAUUUAUCAUGUUAAGAUAAACUACCUUAGGGAUAACAGCAUAAUUCUUUAGAGUUUGUGACCUCGAUGUUGGACUAGGAAGCCUUUAGGCUAGCUGCCUAAAAGGGGGAUUCUGUUCGAAUUUUUACUCCU